GGUGAACGCUGGCGGCGUGCCUAAUACAUGCAAGUCGAGCGAACGGACGAGAAGCUUGCUUCUCUGAUGUUAGCGGCGGACGGGUGAGUAACACGUGGAUAACCUACCUAUAAGACUGGGAUAACUUCGGGAAACCGUAGCUAAUACCGGAUAAUAUUUUGAACCGCAUGGUUCAAAAGUGAAAGACGGUCUUGCUGUCACUUAUAGAUGGAUCCGCGCUGCAUUAGCUAGUUGGUAAGGUAACGGCUUACCAAGGCAACGAUGCAUAGCCGACCUGAGAGGGUGAUCGGCCACACUGGAACUGAGACACGGUCCAGACUCCUACGGGAGGCAGCAGUAGGGAAUCUUCCGCAAUGGGCGAAAGCCUGACGGAGCAACGCCGCGUGAGUGAUGAAGGUCUUCGGAUCGUAAAACUCUGUUAUUAGGUAAGAACAUAUGUGUAAGUAACUGUGCACAUCUUGACGGUACCUAAUCAGAAAGCCACGGCUAACUACGUG
rnacentral:rRNA from 1 species